rnacentral:lncRNA from 10 species
AGAUACCAAGGGUGAAGAGUCAAGCAUUUUGAUCAGAUACAGAGGGUGACCGGGUGACAACAAUGGGAGAUUCUUACUAAACUGCCUUGACAGCAUUAUUUGCUGAAACUGGAUUUUACAAGGAAGCAGACACAGGCCUAGGAGUAGAUUCAGAAGCCUGACUAAAGUUUGGCCAAGCAAAGAAUCUUUGUCACACCCCAGGAAGUCUCUCCUUGGAUCUGGAUAGUUCAGAAGCAGAAGAAAAAGGAAACCCUGUCCCCUGACCCAGACUCAGGCAAGUCUAACGUGCACCUCGUGGAGCCAUAAAGGAAGCAGGGACUGAGUUGCUGAGAAGGGGAGAGACUCCCUCCUCUCGACGCUGGCCUGUGUCUAAGGCUGCCUGUAAGAAAGGUACUAGGAUCACGAAGGAAGCCAGCCUAUCACCUGGCUGGGUGAGAAGAUGGAGAACACAGAGGCAGAGAAAGCCCUCCUAGCAGCCUGCAGAGCAGGAGUUGUUAUGGAGACCGUUCUAGCUGCUCUGCUGUGACAAGGAGUAAUUUCAUGUCAAGAGCAUGCCCUGGAAUGGAAGGCAGGGCUGUGGCUCAGAGGACGCGGCUCCCAGUGGAAAGAUGGAGGUGGUGAGCCGUGGGGAACGCUCUCUGCCUGCUUUUGGGAGUCCUCCCUGUGUAGCGCCUCAUGACCGAGAAAGCAAACACUAGUGGAACUUGGAGCAUUGUGGUGAAAAUCAGUAGUUUCCAACUGGAUGGGAUCAAAAAGAAGUUCCUACUUAAACAUUUAGCCUCAGAAGUAGAUUUUUUAAAACGAAGCCGCAGUUAAUGUGCUGAUGAACUGAAGAUUGAACUUGAGCUUCACAUUCUGUCUUUGGCUGUGAACAAAUAACAAAUAAGUGCUCCCGUUGUAUGGGCUCAGCAUGUUCUUGGGAGACUGCUUUAAAUCUUAUUAUUUUAUAGUCUUCUGCAAUCUUUCUAGAUGUCUAUUAUAUGUUUGGAAAGUUACUCCGACUUAAAAAAAAACCUAGAUCUUACUCUGUUUAAAAUGAAGACAUUAAAGAGUAGAUUAACCCUUUAAAAAC